rnacentral:rRNA from 1 species
GAUUUCUGGUGUGGUGCGCCUGGUCCGCCGGCGUCAGCCGUGUGUGUACCGGUAGUGCGCCUACCAUCCCUUCCGGAGAGCCUGCCUGCCCUUCACUGGGUUGGGUACGGCCAUCCGGAUCGUUUACUUUGAAAAAAUUAGAGUGUUUAAAGCAGGCUUACGCUAUGAAUACAUUAGCAUGGAAUAAUAAGAUAGGACUUUGGUUCUAUUUUGUUGGUUUCUAGGACUGAAGUAAUGAUUGAUAGGGACAGUUGGGGGUGCUAGUAUUUAACGGCCAGAGGUGAAAUUCUUGGAUUCGUUAAAGACUAACUAAUGCGAAAGCAUU